rnacentral:lncRNA from 1 species
AAAGGCCUUAGCCAAUAGUUCAUCAAAAAAGGAUCUCCACAACAAGCCUGUGGAUCAUUACUACAAUACAAUAAGUAAAGAGAGGAACAAAAAUCGGGAAUCAGCCUCCUGUAUACAACCCGUAAGGACUGCUCCUCACUUCAGCCAGUAGUAACACUAUGUCAGGAUGAUCCGGAGAUUCUGUCAAACGCCGGAUAAGCAGAUUCCUCUUGUGAAUAACUCCAUCCAACUCGUUGAUGUGCUCUCU